rnacentral:tRNA from 1 species
GGAUUGUAGCUCAGCGAUAGAGCGGUUGCCUAGCAAGUAUGAGGCACUGGGUUCGAUUCUCAGCACCA